GCAGCGCUGGUUGACCGGCCGGUGCGGCGUGGACGGACGGUCCGCGCCGCACCGCCCGCGUGUUCAACGGCCCUGUUCGGACGGGGGUGCUGCCC
rnacentral:tRNA from 1 species